UACGAAGGGGGCUAGCGUUGCUCGGAAUCACUGGGCGUAAAGGGUGCGUAGGCGGGUCUUUAAGUCAGGGGUGAAAUCCUGGAGCUCAACUCCAGAACUGCCCUUUGAUACUGAAGAUCUUGAGUUCGGGAGAGGUGAGUGGAACUGCGAGUGUAGAGGUGAAAUUCGUAGAUAUUCGCAAGAACACCAGUGGCGAAGGCGGCUCGCUGGGACGGUACUGACGCUGAGGCGCGAAAGCGUGGGAGCAAACAGGG
rnacentral:rRNA from 1 species